ensembl:lncRNA
GGAUCAUUUACCCCAUUCCCGCCUGGUCGUCGGAGGAUUCCGUUCCCCAUUGGAUCCACCUAUUUACUCCCAUCAACUCACCACCGCUGCCCGCUACGCCACCUGGAUAUAUCUACCCAUUCACAUUCACUUUUACUCACCCGGAUCAUUUACCCCAUUCCCGCCUGGUCGUCGGAGGAUACCGCUUCCCCAUUGGAUCCACCUAUUUACUCCCAUCAACUCACCACCGCUGCCCGCUACGCCACCUGGAUAUAUCUACCCAUUCACAUUCACUUGUAAAUAAAUACUCACCUUCUUCCUACUCUCUUUGUCCUGGUCUGCUUCUGGGUUCGAUUUUGAAGAAACGUGACCGUGUGUUCUACUGAGGAUGGGCUUCUGGGAGAUAACACUGACAGGAGAUUUAUGAUGUCUUUUGGGUGAUAAAACCUAAAGAUCAUUCCAGAGCAUGAGUUAAUGUUUCUGUUCUUUACCGUACCAGGGAGAGAUGGUUCCAGUUUGGAGUCAGAGGGCCAGACACUGGUCUCUACACAAUAAACUGUUGACACAAAUCUUAACCUUUUUACCCAUUCUAUAUAUCUAUUGUUCGUCAUGUAGGUUGAAAAAGGUGUAUCUUGGCUAUAAAAUACUUUUGUCUCUGGGCUCUCAACGAAUCAUUUGAUCGUGAAUCGUCGACCUGUCAUGACCAGCCAUCAU